rnacentral:lncRNA from 1 species
CUUGAACCCAGGAGGCAGAUGUUGCAGUGAGCUGAGUUCAUGCCACUCACUCCAGUCUGGGUGACAGAGCAAGACUCUGUCUCAAAACGACAACAACAACAAAACAAAAAACAAAAUAAAACUAUGAAAAUGACAUGGUCCCUACACUCUACAAAUCAACACAAUGCCAAGGGAAAUUUUUGUUGUCUUAUUGCUCUAAGAUCUAAGAGAGGUUUUUUCGUCAUCUUAUUGUGCUGUGGUUAGUGAGAUGGUAGGGCUGAUCACAGGAUGCCAGAUAAGCAUGGAAAUAUGUUCAGCUGGCCUCCUGGCAGGGAAGAGGGGACACACCUGUCAGGUGUGGCCCACCUCUCAGGAGAUGAUGAUACUCAGGUGGGCCAGGGUGUGGUGCUGGGUGACUGGCUGGGUUUAGAGCCAGUUGCUCUGGGUUUUGGAGGACUCUAAGCCCAAGAGGUAGUAGAGUCACGGGCAGGGAAGCCAAGGCGCACACAGCAAUCUCUAGAUUAGGCUGGGGGCAUGGAGAUCAGAUCUGGCCAGACACAUGAUGCCUGGGCCAUCAGAUACCAGGACCCCUCAACUCCACUUAACAUCAUGUUUAUUCAUUCAAGCAUUCCUUCAGCAACUUAAAGCUUUGAAUGUCUGUUCCCUCAUCUGCGAUUUGGGGAAAAUAAUGUAAUAAACAUACACUGUGCCUGGCACAUAGUUGGUACCCAAUGAGUGGUAGCUGGAUACCUAACCUCUUUUAAUUUUAAACUAUUUUCCUUUUUCUCUUCUUGCAGCUGUCAUUCUUCACCUUCUCAUGCUCCAAGGGGGAUGUUUUGUUGUCUUAUAGCCAGAAUCUUUUUCCUUUUGCAGCAUCACUGUAUGGUACAUUUUCUCUUUCUCAUGUGUAAGAAACCAGAGGGGAAGGAAGAGGCUGUGAGAGAACAAUUGUGAGAUUCGCCUGGUGACAUGCUUUUGAUAAGAAUAUGGAAGAUGAACUUAAUUUCCAUCUUAGAAAGGAUGUAAAUGCCUGAAUCUAAUAUGUUCUUAAUGAAUUUCCUUCAUUAGGAAAAGUAUUUCGAAAGGGAUUCCCCAAACUGAAAAGAAGAAAAGUUUAAAAAUAUAUUUUUAAAAAUUAUAUUGAUACCAUGCCAGCUUCUGAGUGAAGAGGGACACUUCCAUUCUCAUGGAAGAGUCUAGUGGACAUUUUUUGUUUCUUGGCUUUAAUAUCGAAACCCCCAAACUUCCUGCUGACACUUCAAUCUUCCUUUGUGGAAAUGCCCUUUUGUGUGUGAGUUGACAUGAGAGCAAUUCCCAGAAUAUGCCUCACAUUGUGGGACCUGGGUGUCCAGAUUCUUCCUCCCUACUGCUCGUUGUCAUGUUCAAUGGCCAAGCGUGUGACCUAAAGGCCAAGAGUGUGAUCUUAGAGCCAGGCUCAUGACUAAGCCCCACCAAUCAAAAACCAUUUCUGGGACUUUGACUCUUCAACAAGUAAGACAAUGG